rnacentral:lncRNA from 1 species
UGUUAUAGUUCUGAUCAUCUCAUUUUGCUGUGAUACUACUUUUUUCAUACUUUAUAAUUCAGAAAAUUAAAAGAGAAACCAUGAAUGGGGGUUUCUUUGCAAUACGCUCCCUUUACAGUUUGAAAUUUGCCCUAUUUUCAAAGUUCAAACAAAUUGCGCAGGGUAAUAUAUUCAUAUAUUAGUAUAUAUACACAAGAAAAACAAAAAAAAAUGUUCAGUAACACUUAGGAGACAUAAAUUUCAAGAAAGACAUAAUCAAAGGGAAAAGGAACAAAGAAAAAAAAUCUAAUAGACAGAUUAAUGAACAUAUAGGGGGAAAAAAAUGAAACCCUAAAUAAAGCAGAAAUUAUAAAUGAGAAGAAAAUAAAAUUUACUCUAUUUCAUUCACGAACGAACAAUUAUCUACCUGAGCGAAGCAGGAAGCAGCUUGCGAUAGAGUUAAAGAGAAG